AUUGAACGCUGGCGGCAGGCUUAACACAUGCAAGUCGAGCGAGCGGCGGACGGGUGAGUAAUGUAUGGGAAACUGCCUGAUGGAGGGGGAUAACUACUGGAAACGGUAGCUAAUACCGCAUACCAUCAGAUGUGCCCAGAUGGGCUUAGCUAGUAGGUGGGGUAAAGGCUCAACUAGGCGACGAUCCCUAGCUGGUAUGAGAGGACGACCAGCCACACGUGAACUGAGAAACGGUCCAGACGCCUACGGGAGGGAGUAGUGGGGAAUAUUGCACAAUGGGCGCAAGGCUGAUGGAGCCAUGGCUCGUGUGUGAAGAAGGCCUUCGGGUUGUAAAGCACUUUCAGCGAGGAGGCGUUACUCGCAGAAGAAGCACCGGCUAACUCCGUGCCAGCAGCCGCGGUAAUAC
rnacentral:rRNA from 1 species